rnacentral:RNase_P_RNA from 1 species
CCAGAGGGUCGGGCGAUCGCUGCGCAUCGUUUAUGCGGUGCGGGGAGGAAAGUCCGGGCUCCAAGGAGUGAAGGUGCCGGGUAACGCCCGGCGGGGGGCGUAAGCCCUUCAGGGAUAGUGCCACAGAAAACAUACCGCCCGGCGGGCCGGCUUGCCGGUUCCGGGUAAGGUCGAAACGGUGCGGCAAGAGCGCACCGCGGGCCCGGCAACGGGAACGGCAUGGCAAACCCCACCUGGAGCAAGAUCGAAUAGGGACGGCGCAUGGGCUACUCCGCCCAGUCGUCCGGGUUGAUUGCUGGAGGCCGUGCGCAAGCCCGGUCCUAGAGGAAUGAUCGCCCAUCCGGUGGCAACACCGGUGGACAGAACCCGGCUUACAGACCCUCUGGCCAU